rnacentral:rRNA from 1 species
AGAGUUUGAUCAUGGCUCAGGACGAACGCUGGCGGCGCGCUUAACACAUGCAAGUCGAACGGACGAUUCAGAAUCGGAGAUUCGUCGAAGAAUCUGGAAAGUUAGUGGCGAACGGGUGAGUAACACGUGAAGAACCUGCCUCUUAGAGGGGGAUAACACUUAGAAAUAGGUGCUAAUACCGCAUAUGACCACACUACCGCAUGGUAGAGGGGUGAAAGGAGAAAUCCGCUGAGAGAUGGCUUCGCGUCCGAUUAGCUAGAUGGCGGGGUAACGGCCCACCAUGGCGACGAUCGGUAGCCGGACUGAGAGGUCGAUCGGCCACAUUGGGACUGAGACACGGCCCAGACUCCUACGGGAGGCAGCAGUGGGGAAUAUUGCACAAUGGAGGAAACUCUGAUGCAGCGACGCCGCGUGAGGGAAGAAGGUUUUCGGAUUGUAAACCUCUGUCCUCGGGGACGAAGAAAUGACGGUACUCGGGGAGGAAGCCACGGCUAACUACGUGCCAGCAGCCGCGGUAAAACGUAGGUGGCAAGCGUUGUCCGGAAUUACUGGGUGUAAAGGGAGCGCAGGUGGGCUGACAAGUCAAAUGUGAAAUGCAGGAGCUCAACUCCUGAACUGCGUUUGAUACUGUUGGUCUUGAGUGGAGUAGAGGAAAGCGGAAUUCCCGGUGUAGCGGUGGAAUGCGUAGAUAUCGGGAGGAACACCAGUGGCGAAGGCGGCUUUCUGGGCUCUAACUGACACUGAGGCUCGAAAGCGUGGGUAGCAAACAGGAUUAGAUACCCUGGUAGUCCACGCCGUAAACGAUGAUUACUAGGUGUGGGUGGACUGACCCCAUCCGUGCCGCAGUUAACACAAUAAGUAAUCCACCUGGGGAGUACGGCCGCAAGGUUGAAACUCAAAGGAAUUGACGGGGGCCCGCACAAGCAGUGGAGUAUGUGGUUUAAUUCGAAGCAACGCGAAAAACCUUACCAGGGCUUGACAUCCCUCUGAAAGAUCUCUUAACCGAGAUCCUCCUUCGGGCAGAGGUGACAGGUGGUGCAUGGUUGUCGUCAGCUCGUGUCGUGAGAUGUUGGGUUAAGUCCCGCAACGAGCGCAACCCUUGCCGUCAGUUACUAACAUUAAGUUGAGGACUCUGACGGGACUGCCGAGGUCAACUCGGAGGAAGGUGGGGAUGACGUCAAAUCAUCAUGCCCCUUAUGUUCUGGGCUACACACGUGCUACAAUGGUCGGUACAAUGAGAAGCAAGAUGGCGACAUGGAGCAAAUCACCAAAACCGAUCCCAGUUCGGAUUGCAGGCUGCAACUCGCCUGCAUGAAGUCGGAGUUGCUAGUAAUCGCGAAUCAGCAUGUCGCGGUGAAUGCGUUCCCGGGUCUUGUACACACCGCCCGUCACACCAUGGAAGUUGGGGGCGCCCAAAGUUGGCUAAUCAAUCUGCUACCUAAGGCGAAACCAAUGACUGGGGUGAAGUCGUAACAAGGUAGCCGUA